rnacentral:rRNA from 1 species
CGUUCUAAGGGCGGUGAAGUCAGACCGGAAGGACUGGUGGAGCGCUUAGAAGUGAGAAUGCCGGUAUGAGUAGCGAAAGAAGGGUGAGAAUCCCUUCCACCGAAUAUCUAAGGUUUCCUGAGGAAGGCUCGUCCGCUCAGGGUUAGUCGGGACCUAAGCCGAGGCCGAUAGGCGUAGGCGAUGGACAACAGGUAGAGAUUCCUGUACCAGUGCUAAUUGUUUAACCGAUGGGGUGACACAGAAGGAUAGGGAAUCGCACGAAUGGAAAUGUGCGUCCAAGCAGUGAGUGUGAG